rnacentral:rRNA from 1 species
AUUGAACGCUGGCGGCAGGCCUAACACAUGCAAGUCGAGCGAGCGGCGGACGGGUGAGUAAUGUAUGGGGACUGCCCGAUAGAGGGGGAUAACUACUGGAAACGGUUGCUAAUACCGCAUACUAUCGGAUAACCCAUAUGGGAUUAGCUCGUUGGUGGGGUAAAGGCCCACCAAGGCGACGAUCUCUAGCUGGUCUGCGAGGAGGAUCAGCCACACUGGGACUGAGACACGGCCCCGACUCCUACGGAGGCAGCAGUGGGGAAUAUUGCACAAUGGGCGCAAGCCUGAUGCAGCCAUGCAGCGUGUAUGAAGAAGGCCUUCGGGUUGUAAAGUACUUUCAGCGGGGAGGCGUUACCUGAAGAAUAAGCACCGGCUAACUCCGUGCCAGCAGCCGCGGUAAUUC